AGUGAACGCUGGCGGCAGGCCUAACACAUGCAAGUCGAGCGGCAGCGCGGGGGCAACUCUGGCGGCGAGCGGCGGACGGGUGAGGAAUUCGUCGGAAUCUGCCUUUUUGUGGGGGAUAACGUAGGGAAACUUACGCUAAUACCGCAUACGUCCUACGGGAGAAAGUGGGGGACCGCAAGGCCUCCCGCACAAAGAUGAGCCGACGACCGAUUAGCUAGUUGGCGGGGUAAAGGCCCACCAAGGCGACGAUCCGUAGCUGGUCUGAGAGGAUGAUCAGCCACACUGGGACUGAGAAACGGUCCAGACUCCUACGGGAGGCAGCAGUGGGGAAUAUUGGACAAUGGGGGCAAGCCUGAUCCAGCCAUACCGCGUGGGGGAAGAAGGCCUUCGGGUUGUAAAGCCCUUUUGUUCGGAAAGAAAACCCGCGGGUUAAUACCCUGCGGGGAUGACGGUACCGGAAGAAUAAGCACCGGCUAACUUCGUG
rnacentral:rRNA from 1 species